UGAGUUGGUCGAGCUAUCGCUCUAUUUAAUAGAGAGGAAAGUCCGGACUUCAAAGAGCAGAGUGCCAGUUAACUGCUGGAGAGCGUGAGCUCAUGGAAAGUACAACAGAAAAUAUACCGCCGAAAGGUAAGGGUGAAAAGGUAAGGUAAGAGCUUACCGCUUAAGAUUAAAGUCUUAAGGCAUUGGAAACCCCACUCGAAGCAAUGCCAAAUAGAGGUCAAAUCAUGUUGCUCGCAUGUGAUCUGGGUAGGCAGCGAGAGCACUUUGGUGACAAAGUGCCUAGAUAGAUGAUGGCUUAAACAGAAUCCGGCUUAUAGACCAACUCAAUUC
rnacentral:RNase_P_RNA from 1 species